GAGUUUGAUCUUGGCUCAGGAUGAACGCUAGCGGCAGGCUUAACACAUGCAAGUCGAGGGGUAUAGGUUUUCGGACCUAGAGACCGGCGCACGGGUGCGUAACGCGUAUGCAAUCUACCUUUUACAGAGGGAUAGCCCAGAGAAAUUUGGAUUAAUACCUCAUAGUAUUAUGAUAAGGCAUCUUAUUAUAAUUAAAGUUCCAACGGUAAAAGAUGAGCAUGCGUCCCAUUAGCUAGAUGGUAAGGUAACGGCUUACCAUGGCGACGAUGGGGUAGGGGUCCUGAGAGGGAGAUCCCCCACACUGGUACUGAGACACGGACCAGACUCCUACGGGAGGCAGCAGUGAGGAAUAUUGGUCAAUGGGCGCAAGCCUGAACCAGCCAUGCCGCGUGCAGGAUGACGGUCCUAUGGAUUGUAAACUGCUUUUUGACAGGAAGAAACAGUUCUACGUGUAGAACCUUGACGGUACUGUAAGAAUAAGGAUCGGCUAACUCCGUGCCAG
rnacentral:rRNA from 1 species